AAAAGGUUUGGUCCUAGCCUUGUCAUUAGUUAUCAGUAAGAUUACACAUGCAAGUAUCUGCUAGCCAGUGAGAAUGCCCUUCUACUCGCCCACCUCGGCGACCUUAAGGAGCGGGUAUCAAGCACACCAUCAGUAGCUCAAGACACCUUGCCCAGCCACGCCCCCACGGGAUACAGCAGUGAUAAAAAUUAAGCAAUAAACGAAAGUUUGACUAAGCUAUACUGACACAGGGUUGGUCAAUCUCGUGCCAGCCACCGCGGUCAUACGAUUGACCCGAAUUAAUGACAAAACGGCGUAAAGUGUGGUUAAACAAACUCAGCAAAUAAAGUUAAACUAGAUCUCGGCUGUAAAAAGCUAAAGACCUAAGGCUACUAGAUUACUGACGUAACUUUACCCUAAAUGAACCCACGAUAGCUAAGACACAAACUGGGAUUAGAUACCCCACUAUGCUUAGCCGUAAACUUUGAUAAUUAGUAACAAAAAUGUCCGCCAGAGAACUACUAGCCAAUGCUUAAAACUCAAAGGACUUGGCGGUGCUUUAUACCCCCUAGAGGAGCCUGUUACAUAAUCGAUAAACCCCGAUAAACCCUACCAUCACUUGCUAAAACAGUCUAUAUACCGCCAUCUUCAGCGAACCCUUAAAAGGAAUAACAGUAAGCUCAAGCGUAUUCACAAAAACGUUAGGUCAAGGUGUAACCUAUGUGAUGGACCAUAAUGGGCUACAUUUUCUAUACAAGAACAAUUACGAACUCUCGCAUGAAAUCAGCGAGAUAAAGGAGGAUUUAGCAGUAAGUCAGGAGUAGAGAGCCUGACUGAAUCUGGCCAUGAAGCACGCACACACCGCCCGUCACCCUCCUCGAGUAUUUCAGACCUUAAACCAUAUUUAAAUACAACGAAUAUGAGAGGAGACAAGUCGUAACAAGGUAAGCAUACUGGAAAGUGUGCUUGGAAUAUU
rnacentral:ncRNA from 1 species